UACAGAGGGUGCGAGCGUUGUCCGGAAUCACUGGGCGUAAAGGGCGCGUAGGUGGCUGGGUAAGUGUGCGGUGAAAGUCCGGGGCUCAACCCCGGAUCGGCCGUGCAGACUGCUUGGCUUGAGCAUAGUAGAGGCAGGUGGAAUUCCGGGUGUAGCGGUGGAAUGCGUAGAGAUCCGGAAGAACACCGGUGGCGAAGGCGGCCUGCUGGGCUAUUGCUGACACUGAGGCGCGACAGCGUGGGGAGCAAAC
rnacentral:rRNA from 1 species